UGGUCUCAAUCUCCUGACCUCAUGAUCCGCCCACCUUGGCCUCCUAAAGUGCUGGGAUUACAGGUGUGAGCCACCGCACCCGGCAGAAAUUUACUGACUUUUUAAAUUUUUUGUUGAGACAGCGUCUGGCUGGCGGUGCUUCCCGGGACGUCACGGAGGCGGAGACCGGACUGGGCUCUCCUCCGCCGUGGGGCUGGCUCCGCCCCCUGUGCCUGACCCCGCCCACCCCUUCUCCCUACUAGGAUCCACCCACGUGUGUUCUAUUGUUUCGUUUUGGGGACAAAAUUUUGUUAAGGUGGGUCUCUGCUCAUUAGCCUAUAAAUUGUCUAGGACCAUUUCCUUUCCAGAAAGCCAGUCUAUAAUUUCGAUAUAGUUCAAAAUUUUAUCUGGAACCAAAUAAAUAAUACAACCUUCUUAUCUGACAGCUCUUGCAAAG
rnacentral:lncRNA from 1 species